GUACACGGUGGAUGCCUGGGCAGUCAGAGGCGAUGAAGGACGUACUAACUUGCGAUAAGCGCAGAUAAGGCAGUAAGAGCCGUUUGAGUCUGCGAUUUCCGAAUGGGGAAACCCAACUGCAUAAGCAGUUACUGUUAACUGAAUACAUAGGUUAACAGAGCAAACCGGGGGAACUGAAACAUCUAAGUACCCCGAGGAGAAGAAAUCAACCGAGAUUCCGGUAGUAGCGGCGAGCGAACCUGGAUUAGCCCUUAAGCACUCGGUGAAGUAGGUGAACAAGCUGGAAAGCUUGGCGAUACAGGGUGAUAGCCCCGUAACCGACGCUUCA
rnacentral:rRNA from 1 species